AUCCUAUAUGUAAAUGUUAUAUUGCUCUUCCUUGCACGAUCUCGUCCACUUCAGCAGUUGCGAACACCCUUUUAUUUGUAUGGUUGCAAAGCAUUCAAAAUACUGGAAAAAAUACAGCUCCAUGUAUACCCAGAUUUCACUGUUGGUGUCCAGAAAAUACAACAAAACUUGCUGCCUCGUACCUUUGGUUUGAUGCAAAUCUUCUUCCAUGUUGUCUCCGUCAACAUGGAAGAGGAACUACCAUGGUUCAGAGUUAUUACCAAGGAAAUUCCUGGCAUAAGAUGG
rnacentral:lncRNA from 1 species